AGCGAACGCUGGCGGCAGGCCUAACACAUGCAAGUCGAACGAAGCCUUCGGGCUUAGUGGCGGACGGGUGAGUAACACGUGGGAACGUACCUUUUGGUUCGGAAUAACGCGGAGAAAUUUGCGCUAAUACCGAAUGAGCCCUUCGGGGGAAAGAUUUAUCGCCGAAAGAUCGGCCCGCGUUGGAUUAGGUAGUUGGUGUGGUAAAGGCGCACCAAGCCUACGAUCCAUAGCUGGUCUGAGAGGAUGAUCAGCCACACUGGGACUGAGACACGGCCCAGACUCCUACGGGAGGUAGCAGUGGGGAAUCUUGCGCAAUGGGCGAAAGCCUGACGCAGCCAUGCCGCGUGAAUGAUGAAGGUCUUAGGAUUGUAAAAUUCUUUUACCAGGGACGAUAAUGACGGUACCUGGAGAAAAAGCCCCGGCUAACUUCGUGCCAGCAGCCGCCGUAAUAC
rnacentral:rRNA from 1 species